rnacentral:rRNA from 1 species
UACAGGGGGGGCAAGCGUUGUUCGGAAUUACUGGGCGUAAAGGGCUCGUAGGUGGCCAACUAAGUCAGACGUGAAAUCCCUCGGCUUAACCGGGGAACUGCGUCUGAUACUGGAUGGCUUGAGUUCGGGAGAGGGAUGCGGAAUUCCAGGUGUAGCGGUGAAAUGCGUAGAUAUCUGGAGGAACACCGGUGGCGAAGGCGGGUCUCUGGGCCGUAACUGACGCUGAGGAGCGAAAGCGUGGGGAGCGAACAGG